UUGCUCACUCUGGCAGCACAUACACUAAAACUGAAACAAUAUGGAGAAGAUUAGCAUGGCCCUGGCACAAGGAUGACACAAAAGUUCAUGAAGUGUUCCAUAUUUUU